rnacentral:rRNA from 1 species
GAUGAACGCUGGCGGCGUGCCUAACACAUGCAAGUCGAACGACCCCUUCGGGGGUAGUGGCGAACGAGUGAGUAACGCGUGGGAAUCUGCCCCGAACUCGGAGAUACCUAAUCGAAAGAUUAGUUAAUAUCCGAUAUUCUCGCAAGAGAAAAGAUUUAUCGGUUUGGGAGGAGCCUGCGUCCUAUCAGCUAGUUGGUGAGGUAAUGGCUCACCAAGGCAACGACAGGUAGCUGGACCGAGAGGUUGACCAGCCACGAUGGGACUGAGAUACGGCCCAUACACCUACGGGUGGCAGCAGUGAGGAAUAUUGGACAAUGGGGGAAACCCUGAUCCAGCCAUGCCGCGUGAGUGAUGAAGGCCUUCGGGUUGUAAAACUCUUUAAGUGGGGAAAAUAAUGAUUGUACCCACAGAAUAAGCCACGGCAAACUUCGUGCCAGCCGCCGCGGUAA